GACGAACGCUGGCGGCGUGCUUAACACAUGCAAGUCGAACGGAAAGGCCCUGCUUUUGUGGGGUGCUCGAGUGGCGAACGGGUGAGUAACACGUGAGUAACCUGCCCUUGACUUUGGGAUAACUUCAGGAAACUGGGGCUAAUACCGGAUAGGAGCUCCUGCUGCAUGGUGGGGGUUGGAAAGUUUCGGCGGUUGGGGAUGGACUCGCGGCUUAUCAGCUUGUUGGUGGGGUAGUGGCUUACCAAGGCUUUGACGGGUAGCCGGCCUGAGAGGGUGACCGGCCACAUUAGGACUGAGAUACGGCCCAGACUCCUACGGGGGGCAGCAGUGGGGAAUAUUGCACAAUGGGCGGAAGCCUGAUGCAGCAACGCCGCGUGCGGGAUGACGGCCUUCGGGUUGUAAACCGCUUUCGCCUGUGACGAAGCGUGAGUGACGGUAAUGGGUGAAGAAGCACCGGCUAACUACGUG
rnacentral:rRNA from 1 species